rnacentral:rRNA from 1 species
GUGCGUAGGCGGGCGCUUAAGUCAGCGGUGAAAUGCGGGGGCUCAACCUUCGAACGGCCGUUGAUACUGGGCGCCUUGGAUUCGGUCGAGGCGGGCGGAAUGCGACAUGUAGCGGUGAAAUGCUUAGAUAUGUCGCAGAACGCCGAUUGCGAAGGCAGCUCGCCGGGCCGAGAUUGACGCUGAGGCACGAAAGCGUGGGGAUCGAACAGGAUUAGAUACCCUGGUAGUCCACGCCGUAAACGAUGAUGGCUGGAUGUUGGCGAUACACCGUCAGCGUCUGAGGGAAACCAUUAAGCCAUCCACCUGGGGAGUACGGCCGCAAGGCUGAAACUCAAAGGAAUUGACGGGGGCCCGCACAAGCGGAGGAACAUGUGGUUUAAUUCGAUGAUACGCGAGGAACCUUACCUGGGCUAGAACGCAGUUGGAAUGGCGCUGAAAGGUGUCAGCCCUUCGGGGCCGGCUGCGAGGUGCUGCAUGGUUGUCGUCAGCUCGUGCCGUGAGGUGUCGGGUUAAGUCCCAUAACGAGCGCAACCCCUAUCGCUAGUUGCCAGCGCGUCAAGGCGGGGACUCUAGCGAAACUGCCAGCGUAAGCUGUGAGGAAGGCGGGGAUGACGUCAAAUCAGCACGGCCCUUAC